GCUCCCGGUUUAAAGCGCCGGCGAAUGAAGGAACGCGUUAUUGGGCUGUAGAAUGACUGUGCCGAGCGGGCUGGAGAGGCGCCGCCGAGCAACCACACGAAGGCAAACGCUUUAAUCCCGCUUGGUCCUGCCCGGGAGCCUGACAUCUCUGACCGCCUUGAUGGUUUCGGCGAGAUUCGCGUCAAAAGCGACCGUUUUCCGCGACUUUUCUGAUUUUAUCUUUGUACAUUAUUGUGUGCAAGAUGGCUCCCUGGCUUCAGAUGCUAAAGGGCGCCACACCUGGUGGUGUGUGUGGAAACAGCAACUUGUCUCAUCCUCUUUUUCAGAGGACAUGUUAAACCUGCUUUAAUUUUAAUUCUACAGGGAUCUGUCAGCGCACAACUGGACUAGGCGCUAGUUUGUUCUCCAAUCGAAUAACUUUUAUUCGAAAGAAUAAACGGAUGGAGCUUUCGGUUGACUUUAUCUCUCCUGUGAUUAAAAAAGUUAACGUUUCGAGUUACGUGGCUAGCUUAGUUCUGAAGAGUCACUGGACUCGAACCAUUAACUUUUCUCUUCACAGGUGCUGGCAGUCCUGAAGCUUUUUCCAGUAACCUCUUUCUUUGCUUCUUACGUAGUAAGAACUGCAUAUGCUGGAGUCAGGUAGCUGUGCAGCUGGAAGAACACAGAAGGCCAAGCAUCAUCAGAGUAGGAAAGCUGACGUUUCGGUUCGGGACCUUCCUUCAGAAAAUCGGAUCUUCGAUAUCCGUAGUUCUCUAUUUCAGUUUUUUUUUGCUGCUUGGAUGUUGUAUAACUUGCUUUAUCAGGAUGUGGUCUCAGAUUGGGUUAUUGUUUUUGCUUUAAGUCUUUUCUGGCACAUAAUGUUCAAAACCACUUAGGAAAAAAGCUGUUUGAGCAUUAGUUUGUUCUGUGUUCUGUACAACAAGCUUCAGUUUAAAAUUAUGCUACUUAUUUUCAGUCUAAGAUUAGAGCUCUCCCAUAUCUUUGGGAAGAAGUCUGCCGUUGGCUUGAAAGAUGCUGCUAGACCUGUUGUGCUUUCCAGCAGUCUGGAUACAAACCUGUUUUAAGUUGAAUGCUGGUUAUCAUUGUUGAAGUGCUAAACAGCCACAAAUGGCUAGCAUGCUCUUAAGUUAGAAUUUUUAAUGACAAACUGUAUAACUUUAGACAUAUUUCUAGAAUUCCCAUGUGGUCUUUUCACAUGUUUGCAUCUUUUGCCUCAAGUGAACUGCAUGAAAAAUACUUUUAAAAAAAGUGGGUUCCACAACUUAAAUUUGAGUUGUGUUCAAUGUUAAAACUUAUUUAGUAUUUGAAAUUGUCUAUUGAUCAGUUGCUAUAACCAGCAAGUUGACCAUAUAUAAAUUAACUUCUAAAGUUGUUACACUGAGAUUUAAACACUUUUUAUAAACUUGAUUGUUAAAUCUAACAUUGCAAUCCUCAUCUUAUGGCCAGUAAUAAAAUUAUUUCUCAAAUGA